ACUCCUAGGGAGGCAGCAGUGGGGAAUAUUGCACAAUGGGGGAAACCCUGAUGCAGCCAUGCCGCGUGUGUGAAGAAGGCCUUCGGGUUGUAAAGCACUUUCAGUAGGGAGGAAGGUAGUAGUAGUUAACACCUGCACUAUUUGACGUUACCUACAGAAGAAGCACCGGCUAACUCCGUGCCAGCAGCCGCGGUAAGUACGGAGGGUGCGAGCGUUAAUCGGAAUUACUGGGCGUAAAGCGCAUGCAGGCGGCCUGUUAAGUCAGAUGUGAAAGCCCGGGGCUUAACCUCGGAAUUGCAUUUGAAACUGGCAGGCUAGAGUCUUGUAGAGGGGUAGAAUUUCAGGUGUAGCGGUGAAAUGCGUAGAGAUCUGAAGGAAUACCAGUGGCGAAGGCGG
rnacentral:rRNA from 1 species